AGUGAACGCUGGCGGUAGGCCUAACACAUGCGAGUCGAACGGCAGCACAGUAAGAGCUUGCUCUUACGGGUGGCGAGUGGCGGACGGGUGAGGAAUACAUCGGAAUCUACUUUUUCUUGGGGGAUAACGUAGGGAAACUUACGCUAAUACCGCAUAUGACCUACGGGUGAAAGCAGGGGAUCUUCGGACCUUUGCUGUUUGAAUUAGCCGAUUUCGGAUUAGCUAGUUGGCGGGGUAAAGGACCACCAAGGCGAGGCUCCGUAGCUGGUCUGAGAGGAUGAUCAGCCACACUGGAACUGAGACACGGUCCAGACUCCUACGGGAGGCAGCAGUGGGGAAUAUUGGACAAUGGGCGCAAGCCUGAUCCAGCCAUACCGCGUGAGUGAAGAAGGCCUUCGGGUUGUAAAGCCCUUUUGUUGGGAAAGAAAAGCAGCAGGUUAAUACCCCGCUGUUCUGACGGUACCCAAAGAAUAAGCACCGGCUAACUUCGUG
rnacentral:rRNA from 1 species